rnacentral:misc_RNA from 1 species
CAAGAGCAAAUUCAGCAUUAUCUUUAUGCCCAGUUAAUACCAGAUCUGGAUGAGACUCUGUGGCUCCCAUGACAGCAUGACGAUUGGGUUGAGUCUCAACAUCCCAAAUGAGGACUUCAGGACUAUCAGUGUGUGUAGCCACUAUCUUACUGUUCUGAGGCAAUUCCCUGAUUCUGUUCACCUCGCCAGGAUGUAUAAUAGUUUUAUACUUCCUUACAAAAGGAGAGCGUGCUUCUUCAUUGAACUGGGAUAUGUGCUCUGCAGCAGCAACCCUAGGUUUAACAACCUCACAGUUUGCGAUUACAAGAGUAUUAGGAACACUGCCAUCAGUCUGUUCAGAAAGGUAUAAACGCUGACGAUUCUUGUAUGUUGCCUGCUCCAGCUGCGGACCCCAUCGGCAAGAAAGAGAAGGCCAAACGAGGUUGUGAUUAGCGAGCCAAUCGUAGAGGACAGGAACCAGUGUCUUCCAUUGUGCAUACCUCUCGUCCACCGAUCUCUUCCCUUUAUCCUUCAUUUUCUUUUCCUUCCUUUUCUCCUCUCUCUCCAUCUCUCUCCCAGCCCAGGGUUCUGUCUCUUUUCUCUCUCUUUCCCCCUCCACUUUUUGUCCCCUUUUCUUUCCCGCCUACUCUUGCUCUGUCAGUGGCUCUGUAAACUUUAACUGUGAAGUGAGGCUUUCUUUUGUUUUGCUUGCGGUACGAACGAGCAAGUCACGGUGGGGAAAGC